GCACAUUUGUGUUGGCAGAUCGGAACCAUGUUUUUUAUUCAUAUAAUUGUCAUUCUUGGUUAAGCUAUUGCAGUGUUUGGGCCAUAAUCACUCCUCCCAUUGAUUACUGGUUUGAGCUGUUGUGAAAUUGUGUGGAUGAUGAUGACCUUUCUCGGCUUUGCAUUUUUUGUCUUAAUAUUCUUCCCUAUAAUAUAUAUAUUUUUUAUGGUAAAAAAAAUAAACUAAUCCUUCAAUUUUAUUGGAAACUGUAGUAAUUUCACUUUAUCUGUUACAGAAGCAGCAAUAGCUAGAUUGACGAAGCCUGUUGAAUAUUUUCUUUUCAAAAUUAUUUGCUAAGGUAUGAUGAAGCUUCAUUUCUGUAAUUAAGGUCCAAUAUCUUAUUUUAUUAAUUUUUUUAAUCAAUUUCUGCAAUAAAAUUUUAAUAUGCAAUCCAUUAGAAAUAUGUUUGUGUUUUUUUGAAAGAGACAAGUCCCUGUUACUUGAAAUAUUCGUGUUCUUUAUCAAAUACAUAGAGCUGAAGCAUCCACAACAAAUACAUAAUCAAAUGCUAAACCUAAUUUGAAUGUGCAGCAAAAGAGAGAGAAUUUUAGAUAAAGUUGUAUUUUCAAGUAAAUUUAUAUAAAGAAACAAAGAAAAGCAUUCAAAAAAAAAUAAAAAGUCUAAAAUCAACCAUCAAACAUCACAAGUUUCAGCUUCACAUUAUUACAUGACUUCUAUUUAAAACUUAAAUGGUCAGAAAAAUUAAAGUACAAUGACAACAACUAACAUCCCAAGUAACAAGAUAAAGAUCAGAUCCUGUUUUUCAGUCUAAGAGUUUUCUUGUGUUGGAACUAAGAACAAAGAUGAAUGAAAAAUAACAGAAGCUUGAGCUUGAAGGCUCGAUGGCUUGCUGAGCAAACAAAACAGAAUCGGGCUUGAAAGACAAGAGAAAACAAGAAAAGAGAGUUUUUUAUGAUGAAUCUUUGAUGAAUUUUUCAUUAACUUGAAAGAUGGCAUAUUGCCAAUACAUAUACCAGACAUAAGCUGGUCAAGAUGAAACAAAGUUACCUAAACAUCUACCUAACUCCACUGAGUAGCAUUGUAACUUGUUAAACAAAACUUGCACACUUGGUAAAGCUGAUUUAUCAGCUCAAACAUCAACAAAUUACAUCAAGUACAUUAACAAACUAGUUCUAAUCUAACUAAGUUACUAUCAUUUGAAACUAACAAAAUGAACAGCAGCAUGAACUUCAGCUGCAACUGCUUGGCUCGGGCAACUUCUCUGCUUCUUGUCUGCAUGCAGGCCAGCUUCAACAGUUUCAUUUUUUCUUCUAAAGUUGUAUAUUUGAAAAGCGUCUAAAACAAAAUUGAUAGUUAAAAAGGAAUGAAUUAUUGAAAUCCUGUGUACAAUAGAAAGGGUAGCAUAAAGGUAUUAGGGUGAAUUUGUUGCCAUACUAAAAUUUUUAGGGGAUAUUGUUCCUGAUUCAGGAUUUUGAUGAUCCAUUUGGCGAUAAUCCUUUUAAAGCUGUCCCUUCAACUGACUCUGCUCCAGCUGUACAACAAAUUUCCACUUCCAUGCCUACUUUCCAGCCUGCUACAAACCAAAAUGAAGUAGCUCCUCAGCCACCUUCUGCAAGUUCCAAGACAGUCACAAAUUUUGACUUUGGGAACUCAUUCUCUGCAAAUGCUUAUUCUGCACCCAAUGGCGCAAACUCCCAGUUUCUUCCUCAAGAAAUGUCAACUCAAAAUCGGGGAACUGCUUAUAGCCAAACAAUACAGCCAGGUAUCUAUGGUCAACAGGCACAAUCAAGUGCUAAUAUGUACAGCCAACCGACACAGCCAAGUGCUAAUCCAUAUGGCCAACCUGCACAGCCUGGUGCUAACGCAUAUGACCAAGUUGGACAACCUAGUUCUAAUGCAUAUAGCCAAUCUGUGCAGCCGAGUGUUAAUCCUUAUAGCCAACCGCCACAGCCAGGUGCUAAUCCCUACAGCCAACCUGCACGGUUUAACUCUGGGAACCUAUCACGGCAGGGUUCUCUUGUUCCAGUUUCUUCACAGGGUGCUCACCAGAUCACAAAUUCACCCGCUGUACAAAAUAAUAAUGAUUUCCUAAGUGGCUUAAUUUCAGAACCAGGGUCAAAGCCAGCACAGACGGUCACUCCCACAUCAAUGGGAGCACUUGCUAUAGUUCCACAACCCUCAAAGGAUAAAUUCGAGCUUAAGUCGGCGGUUUGGGCUGAUACAUUAGGCAGAGGAUUGGUGAAUUUGAACAUAUCUGGACGUAAGUAAACAUUCUUCUUCUCUAAAAAUUGUCAUCAAGUAUGUCCUUUCUGCAUGAUCUAACUUUAUUGUUUUCGGUAUGCAGCAAAAACAAAUCCGUUGGCUGAUAUUGGAGUCGACUUUGAUGCUCUAAAUCGUACUAUAUCUUUAUAAAUUUAAAAAAAUUAAAUCAAUUUUUUCUAAUUUUUUAGGGAAUAAAAUACAAUUUUAUCAUAUAUUAGUUUAAGGAAUUAUUUUAAGGAAAUUGAUCGGUUUAGAAUGUGUUACAAUGGUUAGUUUAAGGAAAUUACGCUGAUUAAUUCCCUUUUUUAUUUCUGAAAGUCCACUUAAUUUCUUUUUUUAGUAAGGGCCAUUAAUAUUUUUGCUAUCCACAAUAUUAUUUUGAUUGAUAUUAUUAGCAACAAUUAUGUAGUGGAUAAUAGCUUUUUAGACGUACGACUCAUCCACUUUUUAUUUGUGAAGGGUUGGCAAGUAAAUUUCGAUAUAUUCUAAGGGAAUAAAAUAAGAUUACGAAUUAUAUGACAAAAAUAGCUACUGGAGAUUUAAAUACAAUUUACACUUUUAAAGAGCCUCCAACGAGUGUUCCAAUAUUAUUGUUGGUUGAUCUUCAAGAACUCGUAAUCAUGAGACUUUCUCAUUAGAGUUACGUUGAAAAGUUGAUUUCUGCUAUUUUUUUACCAAAAGAAAAAUAUUUUUGGUACCCAUAUAGAUAAACUAGGUGUUAAAAAGACGGGUAUCAUUUAAGAUGUUGAAGCCACCCGUUUUUUUAAGGUGAAAGGUUUUAUAACGUUAAGGAUUGAAAUGGGCCUAAAAAAAUAUUUAAAGACCAAAAUGAGAAAAACGAUAUAAUUUAAGGACAAAAAAUUAAUUUUUUUUAUUUCCCCCCUUUUUUUGUAAUUACAACCUUAAAAAUUCCAUUUUUAGAAAAACAAACCUACAUGCUCUUUCGUUUCUAAUUGAAAUAAUUAAUUUUUAACUUUUUAAACUAACUAAUAACAUUGUAAAAAUAUACGAUCAAAUUAUGUUAAAAAGUAAAGUUUUUAAACUAAAAAUGAGAAAAAGCAUAGUAGAGGGACUAAACCCUAUAUUGGACCCCUUUUUAUAAUGUAAAUUAGGAGAUUUGGUAGCAAGUGUCUAUGACCUCUCAAGUUCCAGAAUGGGCUGCAUAGAGCAGCAAUAGGAGCUUCAACUCUCUAACAGGUUCUGAUGCUUCUAUUAAAACAUGGUUUAAAGAACACAGAAAUCAGGAAAUUAGAGUUUGAAUAAUCAAAUGUUCACACAAAUUCCAACUUAAAACAUGCUACCCUUACAUUUCAACUUCAAAUACGAAACUCUAGUUUGGAUAAUAAUUACAAUCAGCAUUACAUGUAAUAAAAUACUGUGUUCUCCGCCAAAGAAAAGUGGUAGUUUUGGAGAAUAUUCACCUCAACGCCACCUUAGUCCUCCCAAUCUGAAGUGAAAUUGUUGUCGUGGACACCUAAAAUGGACAAUGAAGUUACAUCCAGUAUAUUCCAAAGCCAAAUCUAAACAGGGCUCACCACACUCACUGCAGUUCGGAUAGUAAUAAAUCUUCUUAACAAUAGUGGCAGGAUGCUCAUGAAUGUCCUCACAGACUUUAAUGAUACUCCCGAGUUUGAGAAAUGCAUAUUUACCAACAACACAAUUGACAUGAGCAGAAGUAUCACAUGUUGCACAAUGAUAAAACCAAAGGUUUGGGUCUCGACUUUCUUCACAAACAUCACAAAAAUGACUUUCAGAAUAAUUGUUAUCAUCAUGAUAAGUGACUGAAAGAAGAUGUUUAUCAUUUUUGGGUUGGGAUGUAAUAGGCAACGAAAAACACCUAUGAUGUAAAGAAAAAUCACAAUCCUUACAACGUGUCAAACACUAUACUAUUGCAUAAGAACAGAGAACAAAUUGAUAAAGAUGAAUUUACUAAGAGAAUUGUUUAGUAUUCUUUAUCUACUUGAAUCAAUACACUGCUAGUGUUUAUAUAUUUGUUUUCUUGAGUAACUGCUGCUAACCAACUAUAUACUAGACUAAGUAACAGAAUGAUCUAACAGACUAACAACCUCUAUACUUUAACAUUCACCCAGCUUCUAAAUAGGUAAAAUCCGAAGUAAACUUCGAAAUCGAGCAAAAAUAGAGACAGACAAUGGUUUUGUGAGAAUAUAAUAGUUAACCCAAAUUAAAAUGUAACUUGAGACAAAUAAAAAUAAGUUAACCCAACUCGCCAUGACCUCCUCUCAAAGCUUGACUUCAAAUUUUUUAAGCUUUGGUUAGUGGGGUUAAAUUUCACCCUCCAAUUUCCCUUGAAUUGAUACAACAACAAAUUCUGAUAAAUUGCACCACAAGGCAUCCUAUGAUUGGUCCAUAUAGCAAGUAAUGUCAAAUUUUGAUAGAAGUAUCACAUUGAUUGACAAAAUUAAAGUUCAAGUAUUAAAUUUGAUAUUUUGAAAGUAGAAUCACCAUUAGAAGAUUCGAUAAAUUACAAGAAGCAUUUUAGUCAUUUUCCCAUAUGUAAUAUGAUUUAUCUAAACAUGUACUGUCUAAUUCAAGUAAUAUAAUGCAGUUUUUUUGCAGUGUUUGGUUUUUCAUACUUGUAUCCUAUCAUUGUGAGUAUGUAUAUAUAUUUGGUAGGUCCCUUUAUUAUAGGAAUCGGAUCAAAUUAAUAUCUCUACUAUUACAUCGGUUAAUUUAGUCCCUAUAUUAUUACAAAGAAUUAAGUAAGAUCAAUUUUCAAAAGAGUUAAUAUUUACUAUUUAAAAAAUGUUUUUUUUUUUAUGAUUUUGUAGAUAAAAUGUUUUAUUUGGAGUUGAUUUGUAGAUGAAAAAAUAAUUUCUAUGAUAAUUUUCGAACCGUAAAUAUUGACUCUUUUCCACUUUAGUCUUAUUGGGUGCAUUCCACUUUCUAACGAUUUUUGUAAUUAACUUCGGUAAUUUUUCUUGGUCUCUUAUGGCAUUUGUAAUUAAUUGCAUUAAGCUCAGAUCUCUUAUUUCUUCUAACAAUUUUUGUAAUAAAAUUAUAAGAUGUAAAAUCAUACGAUAAGAUUGUUAUGCACAAAUAUGACUAAAAGACUUAUUUUGUGUGUUUUCUAGUUUGAAGGAGACAUGUACUUGUUGAAACACACCAACCUGAAACAUUCUUGUCCUUUUAUGAAAUAAAAGAUAACCAAUGUAGUGCAAUUAGAAUACAUAGAGCUGAAGCAUUCACAACAAUUACAUAAUUAAAUACUAAAUGUAAUUUAAAUGUGAAUCUAAGAAUGAGAGAAAAAUGAUCUAAAAAAAUGAGUUUUUAAAUGAACUUAUAUAAAGAAACAAACAGCUGUUGGGAGAAUAUAAAGCAUCAAGCAAAGUCUUCAUGUAUGUAUAAUGGUCACUGGGCUAAAUCUUUUGUCUCUUAAUCUGUGCGGCCUUAGACGAUCCGUUCGCUCCAAACUCUCCUAAGCCAACCUUUACUCCCAAAAGUGAGGAUUCCUUUAGAAUCCUCUAAAGUACCAAUUUGUAUAGCGGAAGCAAUUGUGCCAAAAGAAACUACAAAAGAACAAUAGAAAGCCACAGAAAGAAUGUACACAAAAUGUUUGAAUAAAUGCUCAAAGAAUUCUAUUACUUUUAAGAAUUCAACUUACAAAUGGAUUACCUACAAAUGAGGGAAGGCUCUCUAUUUAUAGUUGAGCUCCCCCAAAACCGACGGCCAAGAUCAAAUUACAUCGACGGAUGAGAUUAGCCUAUUCCUUGAUUUUAAGGAUUUACAAGAUUAUAUCAUAUCAAAUUAAAUCUACAUGAUAUGAUUCCCAUAUUUACUAAAAAUAGCUUAUGUUGCCACAUCUUCAUUAACGGACCAAUCAGACUUCAAUCUGACAGGCUUCUCCAACAAUUAUUGGAAUCGAGCUAGUUCUCGUGACAGACUUCAAUCUAACAAGCUUUACACUUUGGGCCGCGACAGAAUCACAUUCUCCAAUUACAAUAAAUUCUAAAUUCAACAAUCAAACAUCAAUGCAAACUUCACUAGUGUUGGCUCCAGAUUAUUACAUGAAAUUUAUUUAAAACUUAAAAGUAGGAAAAACCAAAUUACAUUGACGACAACAACUAACAUCACAAGUAACAAAGCGAAGAUCAAACUCUUUUUUUCAGUCUUAAGAGUUUUCCUACAAAUGAUUAGAUCUAAAUUGCUACAUAGGCCAGUCCCACCAACGGUGUAGAUAACGAGGUGCUACACAAUUCCAGUGGACAAUAUACUUGCACUCUGACUUUAAGCAUUCAAGAGCCAGAUCUUCACAAGGCUUACGACAUUUAUCACAAUUUGGGUAGUAAUACAUCUUCUUCGCAAUGGUGAGUGGAUGUGGAUGAUAUCUUACAUUUUCAAUGGUCUGGAAUUUGACAAAUGGAUAUUUUCCAAGAACACAAUUAACAUGAGCAGAAGUAUCGCAUUUUGCACAAUGAUAAAACCAACAGUUUGGAUCUCGACUUUCUUCACAGAUAUCGCAAUAAUGAUGUUCUAAAUAAUUGUUAUCAUCAUAAUCUGUGAGUGAAAGAAUAUGCUCAUCGCAUUUGUGAAGAACUGUAAUUGGAAGUGAAAAGCAUCCAAGAUGUAGCACAAAAUUGCAAACCUUACAACGAAAUGCUGCCCUUGUAGUAUAACCACAAGCAUUGCACUUCCCAUUGUAGUCUCUGUAGUAAAAGAGGGGGUGUUCAUGUUUCAAACAUAUUUGAGCACCAGGAGUAAGAGCAAGCACACAUUGGAGGCAUUUUUUUGCUUUACAUCCACAACAUUCAUAAGCAAAGGCAUUACACACAUUCAGACAUUCUCGACACCUAAAAACCCUGUCCGAAAUAAGGGCAAGAGGUUUUUGGCACAAAUGAUGCCAAACAUCCUUCAUCUUAGGUAAUGCAGCACACGCUUUAUGAAGGAAGAAAUCACAAAAUGAACAAGAGUAAAAUGGUCCCGAGAUUGGCAACAAACACCCGUCACAACCAUUCUCAUUCUUUCCAACAACGGGACUUAACAUUAGAUUAUGUAUAUGCAAGAAAUGUUCUAUUUUUGUAGCUUCUCCAGCAUCGUUGCUCUCUAAAACAGUGAUGGAACUUUCAUAGGGCAUCUCAUCUUCAUCUUCUGGUGAAACUAUUGAAUAUGAGCGUUCAUCCUCUGUCACACAAUGCACAUGGAAUAUAGCAUUGCACUUUGAACAAUAGUAACUACCAUACUCUGUAUUGACUUCAUCAUGGCAUAUCAUGCAAUUCAAAACUCCAAAAUCUUCUAUGUGAUGGAAAUAUGUGUGAAGAAGGCGAUGGUCAUGCCACUUACUUUUGAUAAUGCGAGGCCAUGAAAUGCAAUUUUUAUGGAUUAUAAUGUUACACGUACCACAUCUAUGGGCAACAUGAUUUCCUUCGAUACCACACGCAUCACAAGUGAAUGGAACUUGUCUAAAAACCAAGGUAAAUGGAUGUUCAUGAUUUGUACUCUUAAUAACUUGUAAUGGUGAUUGUGAUGCGCAUUCAAUGUGAACAACAAACUUACAAGGAGAGCAACCAUAAACAAAUCCUAAAGCCUUCCGAUUGGUUUCUCCGCAUAUCUUGCAAGAGAGCCGUUCGCUAUUAAAUUGUAGAGCAAGAGGAUGCUUGCGAUGACACACAUGAUUCAGUUUGAAAGGAAGCUUAGCGCAUUUCUCAUGUAAAUUAAAUCCACAGGCAGGAGAGAAGUGUGUAUACUUUGCUAAUGGUUCCCAGCAUCCAAAGCACUCUCUAACAUCUUCAAGUUCUUCAUCACCAUUUUCAUCUUCAAGUUCUUCAUGACCAUUUUCAGUGGAAAUCAAAGGAUGUUGAAGGGCAACAUGCUCAAGCUCUUUCAAAUUAUUCUCAGCAACAUUAAAUGUAAACAAAGCACAUUUAAUAUGAAAGUCCAAUUUGCAAGAGCAGUGAUAAAUGAAUUUCUCACAUGUUUUAUCACAGAAAUCGCAAAUACACCUUGUGUAAGAAGAUGGUGGCUCUUGCAGAAGAAGAAGAGGAUGAUGAGGAUGAAAAGGAUGAUUAAGCUCCAAAGGUGCGUCGCCACAUGACUUGUGAAGAUAAAACCCACAGUGCUCCACACAGCAAAAACAUGGAGCAGACACCUCCUCCCCGCACCUGGAGCAAUGAGUUACACCACUUUGAUUGUGGAUCAGCUGGUCGUGAUUCAAGAUAAGAAGCAGGGGAUGUUGGUGGCCAUAAUUGUUAGACUCCUCCAUUUCUCCUUCCCCAAGCAAUAUAAAUAAAGGAAAAAGCUUGAUUUUGGGGGCAAAGAUUGAAAGGGAAAACAAGAAUACUAAGUGAAGAAAGAUAAAGAUUAAGUGGGAGAACAUUUGAUAUUUAGAGGCAGUGGCAGAGGGUCGCUGAUAGUAAACUAUAGAGGUCAACUCAAAUAGGUAGUCAAUGCUUUUGUCUUAUCUUCACACUUGCUUUUGAGGUUGGGUUGAUUUGAUAUUCAUGAAUAAAUUUAUGAGAUUUUUUUAUCAAUCCUUUUUUGUUUUAUUUCGAAAUUCCCUUAUUAUUUUAUUCUAUACACCAUAUGUAUGUAUAUAUAUAAAUGUACAUGUUAAUCAAUUUUCUUGACACUUUCCUUCACACCACUUUCAUCCUUCAAUUAUUGUGGUGAACCAAUGAUGUCCAAAAUAGUAAAUAAGCACAACCGGAACUUUAAAGAAUUCUACCCAAAUUAUCAUGUCAACAAAUUAAUGUGUAAUUAACAUUUAAGCAUUUGAUUAAAAGAGUUGACGUGCAAAAAGAAACCACUUUUGGUAGAAAGUGUGUCUUACAUUGUGUGCUUUCAACUAAAAAUAUAUCUUUUCUCUUUUAAAAGUAGUUUAUUUAUUUAAAUUUUAAAAAAAUUGAUUUAUUUUUCUAAAUAUUUUUUAAAAUGGUCUUUUUAUUUAAUUUGUCUGGUUAUAAUUUGACUUUAAUUUUAAAAUCUGAAAAGUAGAUAAAUUAAAUUUCUAAAAAUAAAAGUAUAAGAAUUAAAUUUUAAAUUUAUGAAUAGUACAAUAGUGACUGUGCUUGGCAUUAAAUUGAGGGCCACUCGUCGUGGCCUCCAUUUCUCCUUCCCCAAGCAAUAUAAAUAAAGGAAAAGCUUGAUUGUAGGAGGAAAGUUUGAAUGGGAAAACAAGAUUACAAGUGAAGAAAGAUAAUGAUUGAGGAAGUGGGAGAGCAUUUGAUAUUUAGAGGCAAAGGCUCGCUUAUAGUAAAGAUUCCGACGGCGGCGGUGGCUAGGGCUAAGGAAGAAAGAAAAAAUAAUCUAUCAUUCCUUUACAAGAUAAAUAUAUAAUUUUUUUAACACUUACUCUAAUUCAUGAAUUCUUUUAUUAAAAUAGUAUUUAAAAAAUUUCAAGUUAAUUUAAAUAUUAACUAUUUGAACUAACUAAUAAUAUUAUAAACCAACCUCAGCACUAGACUAUUGAAAGCAUUCCCGUAAUCUCCAACGCAACAACCACAUAUAUCCGCAAGGAUACCUUCCGGCAACGACAAUAAUCUGGAAGAUUGGUUCUCAAAUGUUAUUUCUUGUUUCAUUUUUCACAUGUGCUAACACGAACAUGUUUACACUACACGCUCUUAGAAGAGAAACUUGAAAAGAAAUAAUUUUCAAAAACAAUUUCUUGUGAAAGAGGCUGUUUUCAUUAUCUAUGAACAAGAAAGGAAAACUUAUAACAAUAAACAGACUUAUCAAAGAAAAUUGUGUUUCAUAGUCAAGAUUGAUGUCCUUUGAAAUUCUCUCAAAAUUGUUUAGUAUGUGGGAAUUACUUUUUAAAACUACUGUGUAAUAAUUUAGCAAAAUUAAUUUCAUGUUGUGAUGGUAGAGACAUUUCACACUGAAUUUAGCUAAAUCUAAAAUAAAAUUUAAUAAAUCAGGAUCUAUCAUGUCAAAUCAUGACAUCGCCACCUGCUCUGCCCGACAUCGCCGCACCUACACCUGCAAAAACAGAAAAGAAACACCAGCAAGUAAAAAUAAAGAAUAAAAUAUGUAAAAAAUAGCUAUAAAAGCCAUAGAAAGUUUGUAAAAAGGGCUUCUUCUGCCUUUUUUUUAGAGAAAAUAGAUUCAACAAAAAAUAAAAAGAAAUAAAACUUUCUUCAGAGGUGAUUUUUUGUUUUGCUCUUUCUUUUUCCAUUUAUUUACUUUUAUUUUUUACUUUUUUUUUGAGUUUUCCUUUAAUUUCAUCUUUCGAAAUAUUUAUAUAAAAUAACAUUUGUUUUAUUUUAAGAAAAGAGUAUACAAAUAUAUAUACAAAAAAAAAAUUUGACCUUCGAACUUUUCGGCCCCUGUAUACGGCGACCGACGAUGGCUGGCGCGGUGGCCGACAGUGGUCGACGGCGACUCCACGGCGGUCAUCAGUCGGGAUCCAGGUCGGAGGUAGAAGGCCUUUGAGAGAAAAUAAGGGGAGCUUUGGGUUUUUUUUUUUAGAAGUGGUUGAAAUGUUUUUUUUUUUUAAAUUUUUUUGGCUUAAAUAGCCUACCAAAACGGCGUUGUUUUGGACUUGGGGUUCAGAGGCCAAAAACGACAUCGUUUUGACUUGGGUCUAGGAUCCACGUGUUUUUAUGCGGAGGGGUAAAUUGCGCUUCUAGCCCCUCCGCUUUUUAAUUUUUUUAAUCAGAUUUUUUUAUUCUUAAAUUUGCCCUUUUAGUUUAUUUUCGAUUUCCUAUUGGAACGACGCCAUUUUAGAGGAGAAGGGAAAAUUACCCUUCCAACCCCUCUAUAUUAUUCGCGCGUUCAACGUAGUCCCUCCCCUUUGAUUUUAUUUGCGAUUCAACCCCAAAUUUUAAUUUUUUAUUUGAUUUAGUCCUUUUCUUUGUUAUUUUGGUUGCUUUCUCAUUGAAAUUAAUCAAUUUAAUACUAUUAUCAUUAUUAUUAUUAAUUAUUAUUAUUAUUUACUCCUAUCUACCUUUUAAAUUUCAACUCUUUUUUUUAUAUAUAUACAUGCAUACAUUUUAUAAUAUAUACAUAUACGUACACAUUUUUUUUAUUUUUAUAUACAUAUAUAUACAUACUUACAUACUCUAUUAUUUAAUAAACUUAAAAUAUAUAUACAUAUCUUUUUCGUAUUUCUUGUAAUCAUAUGUAUACACAUACAUGUUUUUUUAUAAUAUAUAUACAUGUGUAUAUUUUUAUAUACGUACCUAUAUAUAUUUUUAUAUUUUAUAAUAUUUACACAUACCUACAUACAUGUCUAUAUAUAUAUUUCAUUUUCAUAAAUAUAUAUACAUAUAUGUACUUACAUAUUCUUUAUACUUUCAAAAUAUAUAUUUUGUAUAUAUUCUUUAUAUUUUAUGAUUCAUAUAUAUACCUACAUAUAUAUACUUUUUAUAUUUUAUGAUUGUUAUAUACGUAUAUAUGUGUGUACAUACAUACUUACACAUAUUUUCAUGGAUAAUAGCUUUAAAAUAUGUGUACAUACAUAUGUUUUCCAUAUUUCCAUAAUUUUAUACCUAUACAUAUAUAUAUUUUAUAUUUUUAUAAUUUUGUUCAUUUAUUUAUUUAUUUACAUGUCCGUUAUUAUUUUUUUUUAUACUUUAUACUUUAUCUGUUUAUUAUUUGUUAUUGUAUCUGCAUGAUUGAUUUUUUUAUAUAUAUAUAUUGGUCUUAUUGUUUGUUUAUCUUUUUGUUUUUUUUGCUCGUAUUAUUUUACUUACGUUAUCAUCAUUGUUAUUCCAUUACAUCUAUUUUUACUCAGAUUCUUAAAAAAAGAAAAUUUCGAAAAUAAAAGCAAUAUUCGGUAUUUGGGAUCUUCGAGAGGAUUGAGCCCUAACGUAUUGGGUUCCAAAUUUCUUCGUUGAAUCUAAAUAAUCGAGAAUGCUCUUUAAAUAAAAAAACAUAAAUAAAAGCUCAUUAUCGGGAAUUCGAUAUGUUGUAACCUAACGCAUUGGAUAUGACACGUUGUUUUCUCGAGACGAGAAUUUUUCUAAAAAAAUAAAUAAAGACAAUAUUCAAUGUUUAGAAUUUUGAGAAAUUGUGCCCUAACGUAUUGGGCCGCAAUUUUUUCAUCUAACUUAAACAAUUGAAUAUCCUUUUAAAAUUUUAUUGUACGAGUUUUUAGACAAGCUCAUUUUUGAAGAGGUGAAAUAUCAUGCCCUAACUCAUUGGGUAUAACAUUUUCUCUCUCUAAAAUGAGAGGGUCUUAACGGCUAAUUUGAUCUAUCCAAGUUUUUAAUACAAGGUUCGUAUUUUAAAAUCUUUCAACCUUCAACAUUAAGACGUUAAUUAAUCAAUUAUGUACCAAUUUUGGGCGUUACGAGGGUGCUAACCCUUCCUCGUACGUAAACAACUCCCGAACCUUUUUUUUUUAAUUUCGUGGACCAAAAACGUUGUUUUAAUAAAAUCAAAUCAUUUAUUGAAAACAACCGUGUUAUAAAGUGAACCGAUCACACCUCCUCAAAAGAAUCGAUGGCGACUCUCAUUUUCAUUUUAUUUUUAAAAUCCAAGUUGAGCCUGUUUUACCAAAAAAAUGGUGUCAACAUAUAUGACCUAUGUUGUUGAUAUGCUUGAUGUAAUUAUGUGCUGAUAGAUUGAUAAAUCAGUUUUACCAAGUGUACAAGCAAUGUUUAUCAAGUUACUAGGCUACUUAGUGGAGUUAGGUAUGUGUUUAGGUAACAUUUUCUUAUUUUGACCAGUUGAUUGCUUGGCAUAUGUAAUGGCAUUGUGCCUUCAUUUAAUGGUAAUGAAAUCUUUCAGAAAAAUUCUUCUUCUUUUAGUCUUUAUUUAAGCAUUUUGUUCACAAAGCUUUGGCUUAAUUUUCUUAUUUGUUCAGUAAGACAUUGAAGCUUAAAGCUUAAGUUUCUGUCAAAUUCUCUAAUUCUGUUUUCUUAGUUCCUACAGAUAUGUUCUAUUACAGUGGCUUUUCCAGCAUCAUUCCAUUCAAGAACAUUGGUUAUGGAGCUAACAUCAGCAGAUUCCUUAUCUUCAUUUUCUGCUAUUUCAUAUGAAUCUUAUCUUCAUUGCACACUUCACAUGGAAUAUAACAUCGCACUCUGAACAAUAGUAACUACCAUAGUCUGUACUGACUUCAUCAUUGCACAUUAUGCAAUUCAAAACUCUAAAAAGGAAAUAUUUGUGAAAAAGGCGAUGAUCAUGCCACUUGCUUUUGAUGAUGCGUGGCAAUGAAGUGCACUUUUUAUGGACCAUAAUUUUGCUUGUACAACAUAUGUAGGAAGCAUAACUUCCUUCCACACCACAUGCAUCACAAAUGAAUGAUGAUCUCCUUGUAAACAAAGUGAAAGGAUGUUCAUGGCUUUUAUCUUCAACAACAAAAUCUAAAGAUGCUGAUACAGAUUCAAUGUGAACCGCAAACUUACAAGGUAAACAACCAUAAACAAAUCCUCUUCGCCUUGUUACUUGGCAUAUCUUGCUAGAGAGCCGUUGGCUAUUAAAUUGUAGAACAAGAGGAUGCUUGGAUGGCAUACAUGAUUCAGUUUGAAAGGAAGCUCAGCGUAUUUCUCAUGUAAAAUAAAUCCAAAGUUAGGAGAAAAGUGUGUAUACUUUGCUAAUGGUUCCCAACAUCCAAAGCACUUAGCAGCAUCUUUGAGUUUUUCAUCACCAUUUUCAGUGGAAAUCAAUGGAUGUUGAAGGGCAACAUGCACAAGCUCUUUCAAAUUAUUCUCAGCAACAUUAAAUGUAAACAAAGCACAUUUAAUAUGAAAGUCCAAUUCGCAAGAGUGGUGAUAAAUGAAUUUCUCACAUGUUUUAUCACAGAAAUCGCAAACACACCUUGUGUAAGAAGAUGGUGGCUCUUGCAGAAGAAGAAGAGGAUGAUGAGGAUGAAAAGGAUGAUUAAGCUUCAAAGGUGCGUCGGCACAUACCUUGUGAAGAUAAAACCCACAGUGCUCCGCACAGCAAAAACAUGGAGCAGACACCUUCUCCCCACACCUGGAGCAAUCAGUUAAACCACUUUGAUAGUCGAUCAGCUGCUCUUGGUUCAAGAUAAGAAGCAGGGGAUGUUGGUUCAAGAUAAGAAACAGUGCUAAAAAGUCCUCAAACUUUUUUUAUAAAAAGUAAUUAAGUCUAUUUUUUUUGCACUUAAUUGAGUACUUAAACUUUUAAAAUGUAUCAAAAAGGUCCUCAAAUUUCUUCAAACAAAAGCGAUUAAGCCCCUGCUUUUUUCACUCAAUUAGGUACUUGAACUUUCAAAAUACAUCAAAAAGAUUUUCAAAAUUUUUCAAAAAAAGCAAUUAAGCCGCUACUCUUUUUAAAAAUUAAAAAAAUUAUAAAUAAUAAUUUUUAUAAAAAUUAUUAAAUUUUAAUAAAAAUAUAAAUAAAUUUAAAUUUAUUAAAAAUUAGAUUUUUUAUAAAAAUUGUAAAAAAAUAUUGUAAAAUUUUAUAAAAAUCAUAAAAUAAUUUAAUGACCCAUAGUCUUUUUUCCAAUUAAAGUUAUCACAUAUUGCAAUACAGUGUGACAUGUGGCAAAAAAUAAUAAAAAAAUAAAAAUCAAUAAAAGUUAUAGAAAAAUCAUAAAAUGCUUCUUUUGGUACGAUAAUUUUUAUUUUUUUUUGCGAAAUUUAUAUUUCUUUAUAUAAUUUUCUUACUACUUUUUAAAAUUUUAUAUAUUUUUAUAUUUCUAUAUAUUUUAUAAUUUUUUUACGAUUUUUAUAAAAUUUUACAAUUUUUAUAUUUUUUAUGAUUUUUAUAUUUUUUCUAAUUUUUAAUAUUUAAAAUUUUUAUUAAAAUUUAAUAAUAUUUAUAGCUUUUAUUGAUUCUAAUUUUUUAUAAUUUUUUUUUCUAAUUUUUAAUAAAAAGCAUGGGCUUAAUUGCUUUUUUUGAAAAAGCUUGAGGGUCUUUUUGAACCAUUUUGAAAGUUCAAGUACUCAAUUGAGUGCAAAAAAAAAUAGGGGCUUAAUUACUUUUUUCGAAAAAAUUUGAGGGCUUUUUUAAUGCAUUUUGAAAGUUCAAAUACUCAAAUGAGUGCAAAAAAAAAAGUAGGGACUUAACUUUUUUUUUUUUUUAAAUUUGAUGAAACAAAAUUAAAAAGAUGAGUGUUGAAAUAUGGAAAACUUUUAUAGCAAAAUUAUCAAGGUAUUUUAAAUAAGAUUAUGACAUAUUACCCAUAAAUUAUCCAAUUUUUAUUCUUUAAAUUUAUAUUAAGUCGAAUAAGUUUUUUAAGAAAACUCAAAUUGUAAUAAAAUAAGCAAUGGUUAACGUUAAAUUGACUGGUUUUAGUAUAAAAUAGUGAUUGUAAUUAGUGUUACUGUUAUGCAUUAGGGAUUGGGUAUUGGGUAUUGGGUUCUGAGCUGAGUACCAUGUCUUUUUUUUCUAACAUAAUACAUUAAAUUGUUUUAAUUUUACUUAUUGAAUAGAAAAUUUUAUAAUUUAUAUAAAUAUGAAAAAGAAUGUUACAGUUUUAUUUAAUUAAAGAUGCUAAAUUAUAAUUUUAGCAUUUAAUUUAUGUUUUUUUUUAUUGCAUAAUCAAAAUGUUGUGUAGGAUUACUGUAUACCUUUUAAUUUCCCAAUUUUUGGCAGAUGUAAAUGAGAUUUGGUGGCAAUUCCAAUUAUGGGUUUCAGACAAAAGCUAAAGAGAUUCCUUAAUCUAAAUAACAAACUUUCCAAAGCAUUUACUUCACAAGGCAUGCGUGCAUACAUUUAAAGAAGAUAACACACAUCAGAAUACUAUAGUUUUCCAACUCAAAACAUGCUUCCCUUACAAUACGAAACCCUAGUCUGCAUAAUAAUUACAACCAGCAUUACAUGUAAUAAUGUCAGGACCAUACUCUGUGUUCUCUUCGAAAGAAAAGUGGUAGUUUUGGAGUAUAGUCACCUCAACGCCACCUUAGUCCUCCCAAUCUCAAGAAGUGAACUUGUUAUCGUGGACACAUAACAUGGACAAUGAAGUUACAUCCAGUACAUUCCAAAGCCAAAUCGAAACAGGGCUUACCACACUUACUGCAGUUCGGAUAGUAAUAAAUCUUCUUAACAACAGUGGCAGGAUGCUCAUGAAUGUCCUUAAGUACUUCAAUGAUAUUCCCGGGUUUGAGGAAUGGAUUUUUACCAAGGACACAAUUGACAUGAGCAGAAGUAUUACAUGUUGCACAAUGAUAAAACCAAAGAUUUGGAUCUCGACGUUCUUCACAAACAUCACAAAAAUGGCUUUCUGAAUAACUGUUAUCAUCAUAAUAAGUGAGUGAAAGAAGAUGUUCAUCACUUUUGUGUUGGGAUGUAAUAGGCAACGAAAAACAUCUAUGAUCUACAGAAAAAUCGCAAUCCUUACAACACAACAACCCUUCGAUAUUAUUCUUACCACAUGCAACACAUCCCCCACUCUUUUCGGUGUAGAGAAAAAUAGGGUGUUUAUGUCCUACACAUGUGUGAGCACCAGGUGUAAGAGCAAUUAUACAUCGAAGGCAUGUACGUUUCUUACAUUCUUCACAUUUAUAGGCAAACGCUUUAGACAAGUAACCACAUGCUACACACCAAAAUACUUCGUUUGAAGUAAGGACUAGUGAUGCUUGGCAAGGAUGAUGCCAAACCUGCUUUACCUUUGGUAACUCGACACAAACUUUAUGGAGAAAGAAAUCACACUGUGUACAGUAGUAAAAUGAAUCCGAGAUCGGUAACAAGCACCCAUCACAACAUUUAUUAUCAUACUCACCUACUCUGUCACUUAACGUUAAGUGGUGAAUAUGCGUGAUAUGUUCUAUUACAGUGGCUUCUCCAGCAUCAUUCCAUUCAAGAACCUUGGUUAUGGAGCUAACAUCAGCAGAUUCCUCAUCUUCGUUUUCUACUAUUUCAUAUGAAUUUCUAUUCCUCAUUGCACACUUCACAUGGAAUAUAACACCGCACUCUGAACAAUAGUAACUACCAUAGUCUGUACUGACUUCAUAAUUGCACAUUAUGCAAUCCAAAACUCUAAAAUCUUCUAUGCGAAGGAAAUAUUUGUGAAAAAGGCGAUGAUCAUGCCACUUGCUUUUGAUGAUGCGUGGCAAUGAAGUGCACUUUUUAUGGACCAUAAUGUUACAUGUGCAACAUAUGUAGGAAGCGUAACUUCCUUCAAUACCACAUGCAUCACAAAUGAAUGAUGAUCCUCUUAGCAACAAAGUGAAAGGAUGUUCAUGCCUUUUAUCUUCAAUAACAAGACCUAAAGAUUCUGAUACACAUUCAAUGUGAACAACAAACUUACAGGGAGAACAACCAUAGACAAAUCCUCUUCGCCUUGUUACUUGGCAUAUCUUGCAAGAGAGUCGUUCGCUAUUAAAUUGUAGAGUAAGAGGAUGCUUGUGAUGGCACUUAUGAUUCAGUUUGAAAGGAAGCUUAGCGCAUUUUUCAUGUAAAUUAAAUCUACAGUCAGGAGAAAAGUGUGUAUACUUUGCUAAUGGUUCCCAACAUCCAAAGCACUUACUAACAUCUCCAAGUUCUUCAUCACCGUUUUCAGUGGAAAUCAAAGGAUGUUGAAGGGCAAAAUGGUCAAGCUCUUUCAAAUUAUUCUCAGCAAUAUUAAAUGUAAACAAAGCACAUUUAAUAUGAAAGUCCAAUUUGCAAGAGCAGUGAUAAAUGAAUUUCUUACAUGUUUUAUCACAGAAAUCGCAAACACACCUUAAGUGAGAAGAAUAAGGUGGGUUUUGCAUAAGAAGAAGAGGAUGGCCGAGAUGAAAAGGAUGAUUAAGCUCCAAAGGUGCCUCGGCACAUGCCUUGUGAAGAUUAAACCCACAGUGCUCCGCACAGCAAAAACAUGGAGCAGACACCUCCUCCCCGCACCUGGAGCAAUGAGUUACACCACUUUGAUUGUGGAUCAGCUGGUCUUGAUUCAAGAUAAGAAGCAGGGGAUGUUGGUGGCCAUAAUUGUUAGACUCCUCCAUUUCUCCUUCCCCCAAGCAAUAUAAAUAAAGGAAAAAGCUUGAUUUUGGGAGCAAAGAUUGAAAGGGAAAACAAGAUUACUAAGUGAAGAAAGAUAAAGAUUGAGGAAGUGGGAGAGCAUUUGAUAUUUAGAGGCAAAGGCAGAGGGUCGCUUAUAGUAAACAAUAGAGGUGAAGUCAAUUAGGUAGUCAAUGCUUUUAUCUUAUCUUCACACUUGCUUUUGAGGUUGGGUUGAUUUGAUAUUCAUGACUAAAUUUAUGAGAUUUUUUUAUCAAUCCUUUUUUGUUUUAUUUCGAAAUUCCCGUAUUAUUUUAUACUAUACACCACUUUCCUCCUUCAAUUAUUGUGGUGAACCAAUGAUGUCGAAAAUAGUAAAUAAGCACAACCGGAACUUUUUAAUAUUUGAUUAAAGUGUUGAUGUGCAAAAAGAAACCACUCUUGGUAGAAAGUGUGUCUUACAUGGUGUGCUUUUAACUAAAAAUGUCUUCUCUUUUAAAAGCAGUUUAUUUAUUUAAAUUUUAAAAAAUUCAAUUUAUUUUUCUAAAUUUCUUUUUUAAAAUGGUCUUUUAUUUAAUUUGUCUUGUAAUAAUUUUACUUCAAUUUUAAAAUUUAAAAAAUAGAUAAAUUAAAUUUUAAAAAAUAAAAGUAUAAAGAUUAAAUUUUAAAUUUAUGAAUAAUACAACAGUGACUGUGCUUGGCAUUGAAUUGGGGGCCACUCGUCGUGGCCUCCAUUUCUCCUUCCCCAAGCAAUAUAAAUAAAGGAAAAGCUUGAUUUUGGGAGGAAAAUUUGAAUGGGAAAACAAGAUUACAAGUGAAGAAAGAUAAUGAUUGAGGAAGUGGGAGAGCAUUUGAUAUUUAGUGGCAAAGGCUCACUUAUAGUAAGAUCCUGACGGCGGUGGCUAGGGCUAAGGAAGAAAGAAAAAAUAAUCUAUCAUUCCUUUACAAGAUAACUAUAUAAUUUUUUUAACACUUACUCUAAUUCAUGAAUUCUUUUAUUAAAAUAGUAUUUAAAAAAUUUCAAGUUAAUCUAAAUAUUAACUAUUUGAACUAACUAAUAAUAUUAUAAACCUACCUCAGCACUAGACUAUUGAAAGCAUUCCCGUAAUCUCCAACACAACGACCACAUAUAUCCGCAAGGAUACCUUUCGAUAACGACAAUAGUCUGGAAGAUUGGUUUUCAAAUGUUAUUUCUUGUUUCAUUUUUCACAUGUGCUAACACGAACAUGUUUACACUACACGCUCUUAGAAGAGAAACUUGAAAAGAAAUGAUCUUUAAAAACAAUUUCUUGUGAAAGAGGCUGUUUUCAUUUUUCUAUGAACGAGAAAGGAAAACUUAUAACAAUAAACAGACUUAUCAGAGAAAAUUGUGUUUCAUUGUCAAGAUUGAUGUCCUUUGAAAUUUUCCCAAAUUUGUUUAGCAAGUGGGAAUUACUUUUUAAAACUACUGUGUAAUAAUUUAGCAAAAUUAAUUUCAUGUUAUGAUGGUAGAGACAUUUCACACUGAAUUUAACUAAAUCUGAAAUAAAACUUAAUAAAUCAGGAUCCAUGUCAAAUCAUCGUGAACGAAUGAAGAAAAAAAAAAUUAUAACCUUUAAGGUAACUGGAGCCGCCGGUCUUAAUUUUUUUUUCUUAUGUACAAAACUUGAUUCUUAAAGGAAUUGAUAUAAUAACAUGAAAAUUCGUCAUAUAAAAAAAAACAUAAAUAUUGCUAAUAUAAUCAAACUGAUAUGUUUAGCCAAAACAUAAUAAAAAAUGUUAUGAUUAAUAAAUCCAUAAAAAAUUAAUGAUAAAUUAUCAAUCACGUUUUAAUAGCCAAGCAUUAAAUUAUAUCUUAUAAGAAUAAUAUUCAUACAUGGGUAAUAAAUUACGGGACCAAAUCAAUUGAAGUCAAAAUCACAUGGGUUAGGUCAUUGCGAAUUGAAAGACAGUAAUUUACAAAAGACAAUAUCAAAAAUUGAAAGUAGAAAUUACGUAGGUUUAGUCUACAGUAAUUUCAAUUUCAAAGGAAAAGUUAAAUCUUCAGAUUGAAUCAUAAUUAAACAAAACUUAAAAGAAAUUUAUCAUGAAUUUUAAAAAUUCAACAUGAAAUAUCAUAUCUAUGAAAUUUGAAAAUCGAAUCAAUCAAAAUUAAUAGAGAAUCAAUUCAUUUUCAGAGAAUUCAACAUGACGAGGCUCGGAUGCCACUUGUUAAAAUUAUAAAAUAAAUCUGAAAUAAAAUUUAAUAAACCAGGAUCUAUCAUGUCAAAUCAUCAAGAAUAAAUCAAGAACAGAAUUAGAUGAGAAAGUGUACCUGAAUCCAUGAAUUCCUUGAAAUCUACAGAUCUUGGAGAUUUGAUCUUUCAAAUUAACACACAAAAAAUUUAAAGAAUAAUUUGCUCUCUCUUUCCUAAGGAUAAGGAUAUUAGAAAAGAUAUUUGUUAUGUAAUUUGGGGACCAUGACCCUAAUAUUUUUAACCUUGGCAUAUUAGUUCUAAUUCCUACUUAGCCCAUCAUGGAUUAGAAUUUGAUUAGAACUCAAUUACUAGAGUCUCUACACAUAUUUGACCCAUACUUUAUUUAAUAAUUAAAGCCCAAUAAAACUUUAACCAAAUUAGAUCACUUUUAAUUUAGGCUAACCUAUCAUGAUAGUAAAUAAUAACAUAUAAUUACCUUUAUUAUAUAUAUGGUAACACCAUCCACAUUCAGUAUCUCCCAACAACAAAUUCCUACAUCUAAUCCUUAUCCUUCUAUUUGGAUAUUUUUCAAAAAAACUGUAACAUCUUUGCUACACCUUCCACAAUUAAACAUACAACUAAUGUAUAGACAACCAAUGGAAGAGUUUCUUUCGCUGUCAUUGUGCGCCUCAAAAUCACUUCACCUUAUACCAUUUUGCCUUGUUUUGGGAACAGUGAAGUUCCUAGCAUAACUAGGGCUUGAAUGUUGCCGACAUUAGCAAAGUGCAUAAUGCAUUCUUGUGUGCAAGGUCUCAUUUCCAUUAUCCAUACAUGAUGAACUAUGUUGUUCAAGUUUACUACCCUCAACACACACUCUCUCUAAAACUAUUUCGAACAAAAACAUCAAUUCUUCUAUAGUAGUCACAUAAUAGUGUAACAAUUGGGAACCGUGUGGCUCAAAAGACUCCUAUAUUCCAGUGGUCAUAAGGUCGUGUGACACACCUCCGUAUGCCAGCUCAUGUGGUACAAAACAUGUCAUUUUUAAACUUGUUACAAACAACAUAAACUUUUAACACAUUUAUGCAUACCAAAUAUAUACCAAACGUUCAUUUAUCUAUGCACAAAACUUCCAUACAUUCAAACAAGAAAACAUAAACCAAAUCAACAUCUCAUUCGAACCAUUUCACCUCCAACUUCUAUCACUCAUGCAUUUCAAUUAUGACUCAAUCCAGCACCAUACAUUUAUGUACAAUAAUCUCACACUAAACACCAUUCAUAUACUUUAAGCAUAAACAUGUCAAGUUGUCUUUAUGUACUCUUUUAAACAUUAUGACCAAGCAUCGAAAAAUCCACAUUGUUCCUAGUUCAAACUCAAGGACAUUAAAAGUAGACAUAUGUACAAAGAAAACCCACAUAAUCGUGUUCGGAACACUUAAAACACUACCAAUUAGAAGCUGGAUAGUGUAUGCAGCAACUUGAUCUGAUCGACAUGUUCAGCAAAAUGUUAACCAUAGAAAAAACGGAAUUGAGUAAGCAUUUUAUAUGCUUAGUAAGCUCAUAGGUAAAAUACAUGUAAACUUACCUUGGACCCAAAAAUAUGCAAUAAAAACAAUUAACAUAAUAUUAUAAACUUGACAUAACAAUUCACAAGGGAUAGGUGAGUUCAUCUCAUUGCCAAAUAGCAGAAUAUUUCAACAUUUGACAUAUUAUUCAAUUUAAUCCAUUCACAUAGGUAUAAUACUUUCAUUCAUAUCAUUUAUUGUUUAUACUCAAAUCAUAUUAGCCCGAUGAACUAUAGCAAGUAUCUUUGAAUACUCGGGUACCUACAUCAAACCAGAGAGCACCGUAGUACUAUAUAGAGGCACCGAAGUGCAAACAUGUAUAAGCGCACAUCUAACCCUAUCGACAUGCCAAUUGUAUCCUAUUCAUCACUACAUUCGCACGAGCUUAAUUUAUACAUAGAUAAACAAUUCUUUGCAUUUUAAUCCAAGGCUCACUUUUUUUACCAUUUUGCAAACAAUUCAAAAUAUAUUAAACAUACAUACAUUCAUAGUAAAAUUACAUGAAAAUUUAAAUAAGCACAUACCGUAUGAACUUACAAAAAAAAGCUAAUGAGUUGUAGGGACUAUUCAACAAUUUUUCCUUUUUUCAAUUAUCUUCAACUUGCUUCAAAUAUUGAUCUAUAUGAUAAUUAAUUUCAAAUUAUCAAUUUCAAUUACCUUAUAAUGUCUAAUUACAUGCAUAUGACCUUUUAAUUUUAUAUUAAAAAAUUUCUUUAAAGUGUUACUGUUUAUUCAAUUUAGUCCCUGGAACCGAAAUUGCCAUAAUUAUCAAAUUUGAGCCUCGAUUUCGAAAUUGAUCUCAAAUCCAUCCUCAACUAACUCACUAGCAGCAUAAAGCAUAUAUUUUCAUCCCACUAUUUAUAAAUUUCACACAUUAGUCCUUUAUAGCAAAACUAUCAAAAUCUCACUUUACAAUUUAGUCCUCCUUAGCAUCUAAGCUUAACAUGCAACCAUUUAACAUCAAAAGCUUCAAUAAUAAUCAACGAAAACAUUUCAAAACUUUAAUAGUUUCACAAAUUAAUCCUUGGGUUAGCUAAAUCAAGCUCUCGAGAUAUCAAAAAAUAUAAAAUUACAAAAAGGGCUAAAUUGGAAUACCUAAAUAAGUGUCGAAAGCUUCAAAGCCCUAGAGAGAUUCUCUUCAUUGGAGAAAUUAGUGGAAGGGAGGAAGAUGAACAAAUGUUUUUUUCUCUUCUUUCACCAUACCUACUUGUUUCUUUUAAUUAUAACAUUUUAUGUUAUUUUAAUUAUAAAUUAUAAUAAUAUACCAUAUAAAAUUUAACCAAACUGUCCACUAGAAUUCCAAUUGGUCCUUAAUUUAAGUUUUUCACUUAUAAAUCUAUAAUAAUUUAAUUUUUACUAUUUUUACAAUUUAGUCUUUAUACCAAAAUUAAUUAUUUAAUUAACGAAAUUAAAAGAUUAAAUCCUAACUAAACUUUAUAUUAAUCUUGUAAUAACAAUAUUUACGACCUCAUUAGUUAAAAAUGAUGUUCCAAAAUCACUUUUUCCGAAACUAUUGAAGAAUGGGCUCUUACAAUUUUCCUGAUUGAUUUCCUUUCAAUGCAACUGUGCUUCAAAUACAAUCACCCAAAACCAUUAAUGGGUCAAUUCAAACCUACAAUUCAAACACCAUUGAAUCGCAAUCUUCCUUUCAAACACCAAAUCUCAUUGUAUCAUAGUCUACGCAUUAGAACAACUCUCUACAUAAUGAAACACAAAUAUACUUUAAAUGUGCAAUUGAUUAGUCAUUUUGUAUUUGUAUACAAUUACAACACCAAAAGCAAAAAAAAUGAAACAACAACCCAUUAUAAUAAUAAAAAAACAACUACUACCAUCGUUUUCCCAAAAACCAAAAAGGAAACAACUUACAAAAAGUAUAACUAACCAAAACUCAACCCAUACCUAUUUAAACAAGGCCCAAUUUAUAAAUAACUACAGCAACCCAUUGGCUGGAACUUAAACGAAAUGGUGUGUUUAAUAAACAAACUUCAUAACACUUCUCUCUUUCAUCCACCGUAAUUGUUUCUUCAUCUUUUUCUUCUUCGUCGGCAACAUUAUUGCUUCGUUUUCAUUUCACCGUCACUCACCACUUGUUCGCAGCCAUCCAUAUCCCUUCACCCACGUCCAUGGGAACUAACAUCUUUCACAUAAUAUAAAACAUUCAUCCUUGUAAGAUUGUGAAUAUAUCUAAGAGAUCUAAUUUCAUAUUUUAAUUUUUCUCACAUUAUCGUCUUUUUCCAUUUCAAUUAAUUGAAAGGUUCAACACCAUAAAUUCCAAGAACUCCAAGGUCCACCCGCAACAUCCUUACCAGCAACUUACGGGAAUUUUGGCUAAACUGCACUAUUUUUUUCACGGAAUAUACAUAGAGCUAAAACACUCACAACAAAUACAUAAUGGAACACAAAUAUAAUUUAAAUGUGCAUUUUGAGAAUGAGAGAACAAUAAUCACAAGAAAUAAUUCAGUUUUCAAGUAAACUUAUAUAAAGCAACAAAGAGCUAUUGAGUGAAUAUAAAGCAUCAAGCAACAACCUUAUUAUUGUAGUUUUCAUGUAAGUACAACCACGCUAUCCAAUUACAAGCAAUUAUAAAUUCAACCAUCAAACAUCAAUGCAAACUUCACAAAUUCCAACCUAUUUAUUUACAACUUAAAAAUCGAAAAAAAUCAAAUUACAAUGAUAACAGUAGCUAACAUUACAAGUAACAAGCUAAAGAUCAAAUUCUAUUUUACACUCGAGUUUUCCUGCAAAAAGAAGGGGCAUUUUUCAAAUAUUUUAUCAGAAUUGCUAUAGCAACCAUUCCCACCAACGUUGUAGAGAACGGGAUGUUGCACAAUUCCAGUGGAUAAUAUAUUUGCAAUCAGACUUUGAGCAUUCAAGAGUCAAAUCUUCACAAAGCUUGCCACAUUUAUCACAUUCAGGGUAGUAAUAAAUCUUCUUCACAAUGGUGAGUGGGUGUGGAUGAUCCUUAUCUUCAUAGAUGCUUCCUAGUUUGAAGAAUGGAUAUUGUCCAAGAACAUAACCAACAUGAGCAGAAGUAUCACAUGCCGCACAAUGAUAAAACCAACGGUUUGGAUCUCGACUUUCUUCACAGAUAUCACAAUAAUGACUUUCUGAAUAACUGUUAUCAUCAUUUACUUCUACAACAUGCAACUAUGACAAUAAUAUUAUGUUGACUGUUGAAACUUAACGAUAAUAAUUUUAUUAAAAUUGGAGUUGCAUGUAUCAUUACCAACGACAAAUUAAAUGUUUAAUUUCAUGGAUAAACUAUAAAAUUGCUCACUCAUUUAAGUAAUGAUCAUUUAACUUUAAUAAAUUCUUUAUCAUUAAUAUUAUCAAUUAAUUACAUUAUCGUCACUCACUCGUUAAUUAGUCCUUAUAUUUUUUUUAAUUUUUGAACUUUAUUUAUUUUUGGGUAAAAUUGUGACUUCAAUAUUUUCUUACUCAUUAAUAUUUGAUGAUUCUUUGGAUAUAAAAUCAUCUCUUAAUUACUAUUAUUUUUAAUGUCCUUUUAAGAAAAAAUCAUUAUUUGGCAUUUAGAAUAAUAUACAAUCAAUUAAAGUUAAUUUCUUUAUUCUAAUAAGUAGAAGAAAUUAACAAAAGGCAAUGAUUUACCUUGGUUGGAAUGCUAAAGGAUUGGGGCGUCCUCCAACAUUACGUUAUCUUGAAAAUCAAAUUUAUAAUUUUUUUAGUUCAAUCAAUUGAUUACAAGUAAAAUGGAGUAAUAAAAAUUUCAGCUCAUGUCUAAUCGACAGAGCUGCAAAAAACAGCAGUACAACCUACAAAGAAAAAUAACAGCAAGCAGACUGCACUAAUACAAAUCACCAAGAAACAACAGAUUACCAAUAAGCUUUAAAAAAGUGAUUUCUGGACAGUCCAGCGUUUGCCAAUGAAUUAGCCGAACUUUAUCUCCACCAAAUGCCGUAAUCCUCUUUCAAUAUCCGCAAAUAAUUUUCUUAUCGACCAUGGUAUACUCAAUUCAAACUCUACAAUCAGAGGAACAUUUACCUUCCGCAUCAAAUCAAUAAAAAAGAGCCGAGACCACUCCCUUUUCGUCCCUCAACACCCCUCCACUGCCCACAACCUCCUCCACAACUACUCCAGCCACGUUAAAUUUCAACCAACCCGUAGGAGGAGAAUCCCAAACACAAUCCCUAUCUCUCCCCAAUUUUCUACCCAACCUGCAAUCCUUAGGUCCCCACCAAUCAACCUCUGAAAAAACACAAUCAUCAUGUACCAAUCUAGCCCACAUCAAUGAUCUCAUUUUUUAUUGAAAGAUUAAAGAAUCAAUUGUAGCCGACCUUUCAAACAUCUUCUCGUUUCGAGCUAGCCAUACUAUCCAACACGAAGCCGCAAUUACCAAUAACCAUAAACUCUUUUGAAUACCUGUCAACUUCACACUCCAACACACAGAACAGAAUUCAUCGACAUUUGUCACAUCCUUCCAAGCUAAAUCCCACCAGCUAAAAAUGUGAGACCAGAAGCUUUUGAUAAACGAACAUUCAAAAAACAAAUGGUUAGUAUUUUCCGAAACUCAAUCACACCAUGGGUAGCCCCUGUUUGAUGAAUCAAUUUGUAUCCCACGAAUUAUCAAAAAAUCUUUUGUUGGAAUGCGAUUAAUCGCCAACAUCCACAAGAAGUUACGCACCCUUGGAGGAACUUUCAGACUCCAAAUUCUAUCAAAUGGGAAUCCAACAGCUUCCGUUCCACCAUAAGCCAGCAAUUGCGACAACUUUUUAACUGAGAAUACCCCUCCCUUGUCGUGAAUCCACACUAUACGAUCCUCUACCUCAUGUUGCUUAUAUGGAAAACCUUUCACUUUGGUCAAGUUUUAUGUUAUUAAUAAAAAUGUCUUGUAUGUUUAUUAUCAAUAUCUGUGGAUACGAUCCUACUUGUUGCUUCUAUUAAUUACUAUUUCUCUCUACUACAGUUAAUUGUUGGUUUAUUAUUGCUGGUUUGAGCUGUAGGGAAAUUAUGUACUAGCGUGGAUGACCAUUCUCUGCUUUGCAAUUUUGUUUCUGGUUUUCAUAUUCUACCAUAUAAUAUAUCAUUUGUACUGAACAAAAUAAAACUAAUCUUUCAAUUUUUCCCAAUCAUUUAUUUGCCCAUUUGGAGCGGUAAUCAUUUUAGUGUUUUUGAAUAUGAAAUAGGUGCACAGGAUCUUAAGGAUCAGGUUUUGAGACCAUCAGAAGACCAAACGAAGAACCGAGGCAAAGCGUAGCUGAAAAUGAAGAGUUUAGAGCCUUGGCACAACAAAUUGACACCCCUGCCUCAUCCAGCGCCCCAGCACAAGAAAGGAGUUACCUACGUUGGCACCCCAACUUCGAAUCGCCUCGUUCUGACUUGAAGUUCCAAGUUUUGGUAGUGUUCCAAGAGCAUUUUGGUCUUUUAUGGGUUUUAUGACCUAAAUCAAGUUUCUGUAGCCAAAUUUUGGUUGAAAAGAUAUUAUAAACACUCUGAUUGGAGAGGGAGUUAGGACUUUUGACCGUUUAGAGAUUAAAUAGCUUCUUUUUUUUUUUCAUUCAUUUGAUUUUAUGGCUUGCUAAACUCUCAUUUUUUUUAGUUUAAGGAUUUAAGUCUUCUUUAUUCUUUGACAUUCAUGCAUAUUUUGUUUUAAUUACAAUUGCUUUGAUUUUUUGAAUCUCUAUCCAGUAUUUGAUAGCUUAAAACGGUUGUCUUGUUAAUUAGAAUAGUUAAAUCCAUAAUUGUUCAAUUUAUUCAAAUAGUAGUGACGAAUUCAAUAGCUUGUUUAUAUUGUAUUUUACGUUUAUGUGGUGUGAAUAUUUGAUCUUAAAUGAAUCUUGCUGGGGUGAGUUUGUUGGUUAGAAGUAGGUCUCUCCUGUUCUUAAUGUUGUCGUUAAGUUAAAUCUUUGGCACUAAGUUAUAUGAUUAUUUAUCGGUUAGGAAAAUAUUUUCAAACGAGCUGUCUCUUGAUUACCGAACAGGCAAUGACAGAUUGGUUGCCCGACGCUGAGUCAACAACUAGAACUAAUUUACUAAAAGUGUUGAAGAUACAUUUGCGUUGAUAAUCGAAUUCAAAAAUCAAACAGAGAUUUACCUAUGGUCAGAACUUUUUCUCAUCGAUUUUUCCAAAACUUUUAAAUAUUUUUUCACUUUUAAGUUUAAUUGUUUAAUUUAAUUUCAAUUUUCUAUUUUAUAAAAAAAACUUUCUAAUUUAUUUUUAUUGUUUUUUUUAAAGAAAUAAAGUUAUUAUCAAUAUACGUGAAUAUGGACCUACUUGUUACUUCUACUAAUUACUCUUUUUUAUUUUUAUAGAUCUCGACUACAGUUAAUUGAAGGUUGAUUACUGGUUUGAGCGGUUGUGAAAUUAUGUACCAGUGUGGAUGACCUUUCUCUGCUUUGCAAUUUUGUUUCUGGUUUUCAUAUUCUUCCAUAUAAUAUAUAUUUUGUACUGAGCAAAAUAAAACUAAUCUUUCAAUUUUUUUCCAAUCAUUUAUUUGCCCAUUUGGCAGAGUAGUCAUUUCAGUUUAUUUAUUUUCAUAUCAGAAAUCAGGGUGUUUUUUUGGAACUUCAAAAAUCAAAAUUCAGUUAUUUUCAUGUCAUGUCAUUGACACAUAAUUUUAGUAAUUUUUUUAGUCUAAACUCUGAACUUUGAAACUGAACCUCGAACCAUUAACCAUUAACUAUGAGGUUCAAGAUUUAGGUUUGGGGUUUGAGACUUAAGUUUAGAGUUCGAGAUUUGGGUUCAGGGUUCGAGGUUUGGGUUAUGAGUUUGGGGUUCAAGAUAAAAAAAUUACAAUAAUUAUUAUGUGUCAAUGACAUAAAAAAAUUACUGACAUGUCAUUAAAUAAUUAGAAAUGGAUUACAAAAUAAUUUGUUAUGACAUGCAAAUUAUUUUGUUUGAUACAAUUUUUUUAUUGCUUUAAUAUAUGGCAUGAAUUAUUUGAAUAGAAAUUAAUAUAUUUUUUUUAAUUUUUAAUUUAUUUUAGAGUUUACUAUAGAAGAGGAUUAACCAAAUUUGCGUAUAUGACUAUCUUAAUAGGGUAAUUUACCAUAGGAAAGUUGGAUAUACAUUUGAAUGUAUCAUCAAAUAGAAAAGAGGUUUAACAAGUUCCCAUUCUCAGAGAAGAGGAGUAAGGAAAUCACAUACAAGAUUGCGAUAUGAGAGAGUAAAAAAGAGAUGCGAAUAUAGCCAAAACAAUAGAUGUGGGGAAUGGAAUCCCAAAGUAGAAGCUGGCAGCUGGGAUCCAAGUUUAUUGUCAUUCUUGGUUAAGCUAUUGCAGUGUUUGGGCGAUAAUCACUCCUUCCAUUGAUUACUGGUUUGAGCUGCUGUGAAAUUGUGUGGAUGAUGAUGACCUUUCUCGGCUUUGCAUUUUUUGUCUUAAUAUUCUUCCUUAUAAUAUAUAUAUUUUUUAUGGAAAAAAAAAA
rnacentral:lncRNA from 1 species